GACAGAGGUGCCAGGCGUUAGGCGGAAUCACUGGGCUUACAGCGUGUGUAGGUGGAUGCCUAAGUACCUUGUGAAAUCCCACAGCUUAACUGUGGAACUGCUUGGUAUACUGGGUGUCUUGAGUCACUCAGGGGCGAGCGGAACAAAUGGUGGAGCGGUGAAAUGCGUAGAUAUCAUUUGGAACGCCAAUGGUGAAAACAGCUCGCUGGGGGUGCACUGACACUGAGACACGAAAGCCAGGGGAGCGAACGGG
rnacentral:rRNA from 1 species